CUCCAUUUUUAUUGAAGAAAAUGAUUUGUAGCAUGAUCUAUUUUUUUCAAGUCAUCAAUGCAUUUUAAUCUCUUCUCCCAUUUAGCCACCUAUCAAUAAUUACUUCCUUCAAAAUGUGUUCAAAACCCCCACAUAUGUUGUCAAGAGGAUUCACUUGCUUGUGGCUAGCUUCUUCAGCUAAUGGAUGACAGAGAAUAUUGCCUGAAUCUAUUAUAUACGUAUGAACACCAAAUUCCUAGAUUGCAGGACCAGCCCAAUUCUUUGCUCUGCUGGAAGUCAUCUUAAGAGGUUGCUUGACAUGGGCCUCAGGAAUGCCUGGUGGAACUUCAGCACUCAGCUCUCACUCUGUCAUCACAGCCAUGCAGAGAGGGGUGGAUGGCUGCAUCUGGGAGUCCAUCUGAUUAAGAGGCUGGUUCACUUUGAACUUUUUAGUUUUGGUGUGAAGCAAGGCUGCACUUGCUUUCUGAGGCUGCUUAGAAUUAACUUACAUAGCUGCUGCGUGGGCAACAUGAGCAGCAGAAUUCUGUGGUUAUGUGCAGAUUGCACAUAUCUUGGA
ensembl:lncRNA